rnacentral:lncRNA from 1 species
UCCCCGUCUGCGUGAGGAGCAGAAGCAGAAAGGGAAUUAAACAAAUUCCAGAUAAACAGAAGGAUCAUCUUCUAAACCUGCUGGCGCACUGACCUGUGAGACAAGUAGAGCCUGCUGUUUUAUUGGGGGUGUUUUCCCACCUGGAUCAUACCGUUUCGGCUGCAGUGUUCUGGAGACGACAAUGGACUGUGAUGACCCCGAGUCUCCGAUGAUGACCUUUACAGGCCAGGCUCCAGAG